UACAGAGGGUGCGAGCGUUAAUCGGAAUUACUGGGCGUAAAGCGUGCGCAGGCGGUUUUGUAAGUCUGUCGUGAAAGCCCCGGGCUCAACCUGGGAAUUGCGAUGGAGACUGCAAGGCUAGAGUGUGUCAGAGGGGGGUAGAAUUCCACGUGUAGCAGUGAAAUGCGUAGAUAUCGGGAGGAACGCCGGUGGCGAAAGCGAUUCUCUGGCCCGUUCCUGACACUGAUGCGCGAGAGCUAGGGGAGCAAACAGG
rnacentral:rRNA from 1 species